AGUCGAACGGCAGCGGGUCCUUCGGGACGCCGGCGAGUGGCGAACGGGUGAGUAAUGCAUCGGAACGUACCCAGUAGUGGGGGAUAACUUACCGAAAGGUAAGCUUAUACCGCAUACGCACUGAGGUGGAAAGCAGGGGACCGCAAGGCCUUGCGCUAUUGGAGCGGCCGAUGUCGGAUUAGCUAGUUGGUGGGGUAAAGGCCUACCAAGGCGACGAUCCGUAGCGGGUCUGAGAGGAUGAUCCGCCACACUGGAACUGAGACACGGUCCAGACUCCUACGGGAGGCAGCAGUGGGGAAUUUUGGACAAUGGGCGCAAGCCUGAUCCAGCCAUGCCGCGUGAGUGAAGAAGGCCUUCGGGUUGUAAAGCUCUUUCGGCCGGGAAGAAAUCGUGGUGGCUAAUACCUGCCAUGGAUGACGGUACCGGACUAAGAAGCACCGGCUAACUAUGUGCCAGCAGCCGCGGUAAUACAGAGGGUGCAAGCGUUAAUCGGAAUUACUGGGCGUAAAGCGCGCGUAGGCGGCUUGAUAAGAUGGGUGUGAAAUCCCCGGGCUUAACCUGGGAACUGCAUCCAUAACUGUCUGGCUAGAGUACAGUAGAGGGUGGUGGAAUUUCCUGUGUAGCGGUGAAAUGCGUAGAUAUAGGAAGGAACACCAGUGGCGAAGGCGACCACCUGGACUGAUACUGACGCUGAGGUGCGAAAGCGUGGGGAGCAAACAGGAUUAGAUACCCUGGUAGUCCACGCCGUAAACGAUGUCUACUAGCCGUUGGAAUCCUUGAGAUUUUAGUGGCGCAGCUAACGCACUAAGUAGACCGCCUGGGGAGUACGGUCGCAAGAUUAAAACUCAAAUGAAUUGACGGGGGCCCGCACAAGCGGUGGAGCAUGUGGUUUAAUUUCGAAGCAACGCGAAGAACCUUACCUGCCCUGACCUGCAGAGACUUUCCAGAGAWGGAUUGGUGCCUUCGGGAACUUCGACCCCGGUGCCGCCAGGCCGUUGUUAACUUGUGUUCCGAGAAGUUGGGGUAAAUUCCGUAACGAGCCCCACCCUUGUCCUUAAUUUCCCACCCGGUUUUGGGGGCCCUUUAAGGGGGCUUCCGGUGGCCGGCCGGAGGAAGGGGGGGAAGGCGUCCAGUCCUCCUGGCCCUUUCGGCCGGGGUUCCCCCCUGGUUCCAUGGUUGGUUCCGAGGGUUGCCCAACCCCGAGGUGGAACUAAUUCCCUUAAACCCAUUGUAGUUCGGAAUGGGGUUUGCAACUUGGCUCCCGAAAUUGGAAUCCCU
rnacentral:rRNA from 1 species